UUCAAUUGGGGAUCAAGUAUUCAGCCAUUAUAUUGUGUUUAUUUCAGUUGUGAGGCUUCCUUUUGAUAAAAUCAUAGUCUACAUGCUAUUAUUCUCUUUAUUAGGUGAUGUCCAUGUCUCUUGCAUAGUGAAUAUAUGCCUGUACUUCUGCUUAUGGUGUAGGUAUAUUAAACAUGUACCGUGUCAUUGCCGUACGCAUUU